CCAUGUCCAUCAUGAACUCCUUCAUCAACGACAUCUUCGAGAAGCUCGCCGGGGAGGCCUCCAAGCUCGCCCGCUACAACAAGAAGCCCACCAUCACCUCCCGGGAGAUCCAGACCUCCGUCCGCCUCGUCCUCCCCGGGGAGCUCGCCAAGCACGCCGUCUCUGAGGGCACCAAGGCCGUCACCAAGUUCACCUCCUCUUAGAUUGCGUCGCCUGUAUCUAGUAGCAAAUGCAGUUCCUUCCUGUUGGUUUAGUGCUUGUCUGUGGACUCUGGUUAUCUGCAAGUAAUAUUAGUCCUACUGUUGGAUGAAAAUUGCCGAAUCAUUGCCAAUGCUUUUUUGGCUCGUCGGAAACAAUGUUGCGUUGUUGGUUCUAUUUAUACUGAUUUCCGCGGUGAUUUACUUAAUGCCUAAUAGGUGUUCUAAUUUUUAUUCAUCUCAGACAUGAGAUUUUGCUUACAAUUCCUGCCCCUCGCGUAUAGGUUAUCAGGUUUUUGUUUCUUCAGUUUGUGCAGAACCCAGUGGUUGUCUCAAUUGCCUCGUCGACUGCUGGCCAUUGGCGCUGUCAUGUAAUCGAGGUGCUGAUGAAUAAGGACAAACCGUCUGAUUUGUUUGCCAUGGCUUGUUCUUAUUACGUAUGAUACUCCUAGCUUUGCCUUGACACUCGUUUGUUGUAAGAACAAUGAGUGAUGAUUUGUUUCACACUGUGCUUUCGUACUGAUGCAAUGUUUCAGAUUUCUGAAUCACCCAGAUGGGUUCUUGUAGCUGCAUGUGCAGAAACAAGUGCUCCUGUGUGCCAAUCGUAAUUGCUCGGUGGAAAUGCUCUCAUGUUCUGGUCUGUGAAUGUGUUAUAGAAGUCAGUGGUGUCCAUAAGCAAAUAGUAUUAGUCAACUAGUCAGCCGUCUUGAUUAACUUUGCGUGAUGUAUACAUCCUGUCACUAGAUUAAACUUUAGUUCCAGAGUUGCUGUUCAUUUCUUAUCGUCAGUUGUUUCCUAAACAACGGAGGAGAUCUGGACUAAUUGCCUGCCUCCCUGUUUAUCGACACAAGUUACAAGUCUGAUUUCUGUGCACUUUUGGUGAAGCAAUGGUCCUCUGGCUGUAGUUUCUUGUCGGUAUCACACAGACACAGUAAUAAUUUACUUUGUCAACUGGCUCCUGUGUUUGUGGGUUUUGGACUUGAAAUGGAAUGAUAAAUAUCUACACUGAAUUGAAGGUUUUUUGAAUUUUCUGUGAUGAAAAAGCAAAUUUUACGUGUUCAAGUUUUAGCCCUUUUCUAGUUGAUUCCUCAGCAACACCUAGAAAUGCAAUUGCAUCCAAAAUAAGAGUGCAGAAACAAAACGUGGAUGUUUUCCUGACGCAACCCACUCAAUUUACGGCAUCAUGCCAUGUAGAAGGGCGAACAACGGUUUAAAUCUCAGAGUCUAGACAAACGUUGGCAAAUAAUCACAUUCACAAUAUCAAGUCGCUAGAACUAGAUUAACAACAGCACAGGAAACCAAGAUGCAGACUGGUGGUGCAUCUCAAACUUUUAAACUUGGUAAACCGCUUAAAAUAUGUUCAGAAAAUGUACACCAUCGUUUCUGUUUAAGUCAAGACCACUGUCCUUGUUGGAUCUCUCGGGCCAAGCAGCAUUGUGCGCUGGAUGUCUCUUAAGAACUAGAAACCUGAAAGUGCUGUGCUGACAAGCGAGUGAUGGAGGAAGAGGCCGAAUCGGUGCGCGAACAAUGGUUCAGGAUAUAUGUCCAAGGGAACAAGAGUCUCCUUGUACAUGUUACAGGAUUUCUCAGAACGAAACAGAGGCAAUAAUAAGGAGUGCCCCAGAAAAUUUAUGUUCAAUGGUAGAUGCUCUUUUUUUUCCUAAGAAAACAGGCACAAGCAGCGCCCGACUUUAAAUAAACUAGAUGGUGCCUCGCGCUUUUAGAAUAAAUCCGAGUCACUCCGUCGAUCAUCCGAGGACCAAGCAAUCACACAAGCACGACACCGAGAUUUGUUAACGAGGUUCACCGAUAUGGUUACAUCCUCGGGGCAUUGACUACGGACGCUUCUCCCCGUGACACCGUCACAAUACUGCACACCGACCACCCGGGCACUAGCACACACCGCCGGCGCCCCUUUGCGCGCCUGUGCUAUUAUGUUGGCAUAGGUUAUGGAGUCGUGUCCUAAUAGGACACUUGUAUCCUAGGCCUCUCAUAUAUAGCGAGGGUAGACACACGAUGUAACCUAUGUCAAUAUAAUAGCACCGAAACGCAGGGGAAGCCGGCGGCAUGUGCCGGUGUCCAGGGCGACCGGGUGCGGUAUUGUGACGGUGUCAUGGGGAGGAGCGCCCAUAGUCAGGCCCCGGGGAUGUAGCCAUAUCAGUGAACCUCGUUAACAAAUCUCGGUGUCGUGCUCGUGUGAUUGCUUGAUCCUCGAAUGAUCGACGGUAUGCCUCUGAUUUAUUCUAACAAGUGGUAUUAUGAGCUAGGUUGUUCGGAGGUUGUGGAUUGUUGAUCUAGAGGAAGUAUAAGUCCGAGAUGCAGCCGGCAGCAGUGUGGUUCUCGGUGAGAUUGAAAAAAGCAAUCGGUAGCGAAACCGGCAAGCAGGCUUCGGAUCAACGGAAGGCUCUCGUGCUCGUUGGAGUGGCGAGGACGUGCGGCGAUCGAUCGGCAGAUUGAUUGGGCGGGCGUACAGGAGAGACAUGCGGCGGUUGAUCACGGGAACUUCUAUGCGCCGCUUAUUGCGGCAAGUAGUCACAGUUUCGCAUAGCAGACGACUCGCCUGGGCCGGCCCACUAGCUAACCUCCGCAGAAUGAAAAAUCGGAAAAAUAAAAGCGCGCUAGCUAGAAAUCGAACCCGCAAGCUGCUGUAGAUGAGCACCGCGUGCUAGCCACCACGACACCUGAGUUAAUAUGAAAAUAUGCAGCGCCAGCAUUAAAGAACCUGAGCGAGUCCAUAGCCACUGUAGUAACACAGGUUUCUUGCAUACAAUUACAUAUUAAAACUUCUAUUAAAAUUUCAAGCGUAAAAAAGGAUUUUUUUUGAAACGCGACAUUAUUUGGGAACUGAAUAGAAACUAAAAACAAGUAGGGAAAAAAUUGAAUACAAGAAUAAUUUCUAAAUUAUGAACUACUUUUCGUAAACGCAAAACAUCUUUUCCAAAACAAGUAACAAAACUGAAAAGGUGAUAAUGUUUUCAAAACUAAUCUAUUUUCAAAAAACUCGAGCAUUUUUUGAAUUUGUGACAAAAUUCCGAAAACAAGAACAUUUUUAAAAUUUGUGAACAAAUUUUCAAAACUGUAGCUUUUUUAGAAUAUGUGAACAAAUUUGGACAACAAGAACAUUUUUGAAAUACCAAAUAUUUUAGAAUUUGCAAACAAAAAUUAAACAUGCGAACACACUUGAAUUUGUGAACAAAUUUUCAAAAAUGAACAUUUUUUGAAUAUGUGAACGAAUUUUGAAAACGAAAAUAUGUUUUGAAUUUGCGAACAAAUUUACAAAAUGGGAAUAAUUUUUUACAUUUCCAGAACAUUUUUGAAUUUUUGAACAAAAUUUGGAAACAGGAACAUUUUUAUGAGAUUCCCAAACAUUUUUUUAAUUUGCGAACAAUUUUUUAAAGCGGGAACAUGUUUUGUACCGCCGAACAUUUUUUAAAAUUUGUGAUUUUUUUUAAACUGAACAAUUUUGAUACUCAAAAACGAAAAUGUGCAUAUUUUUCUAAAAGUGCGGGGAACAAUUUAUUUAAAACAGGAACAUGUUUUGAACCACCAAACAUUUUUUGAAAUUGUGAACAAAAAUUUGAAACUGAACAAUUUCAAAACUCCUGAAAAAAUGAAAACAUGCACAUUUUUGGAAUUUUCCGAAAAACUAUGAAUUUUCGACAAAUCAGGGACAUUUUUUUGAAAUCAUGAACAAUUUUUUCUAAACAUGAUUUUUUUGGGAAAUUAUGAAUAAUUUGUUCAAAACACAUUUUUCAGAAAUUUCAGAAAACAUGAACAUUUUUGGAGUAUGUGAACAAAAUUGAAAAGGCUAGAUUUUUUUUUGAAAUUACAGAACAUUUUCAAAUUUAUGAAUUUUUUUUAGAAAUGAGAACAUUUUUUCAAAUUCCUCGAACAUAUUUUGAAUUUGCGAACAAAUUGUCAAAAACAUGAUUUCUUUUCAAAUUAGUGAACACAUUUAUUGAAAAUUCCAAAUAGAAAAGAAAACCAAAAAAAGGCAAGUACGAACAUUUUUUAAAAAGGGAACAUUUUUUAAAUCCCACAACAUUUUGUUUAAAAUGCGAACAUUCUUUGAAUUUAUGAACACUUUUGGAAAAUGCGGCCAUCUUUUUAAAAAAAUGAAGGUUUUUUGAAAGUGGGAACAAUUUUUUAAGGUUAUGAACAAUUUUUGAAACAUGAAUUGUUUUCAAAAAAAAUGGAAAAAAGAAACCGAAAAGGAAACAAGAACAUUUUUAGACCAAAGUUAGAAACAGAAAACAAUUUUUAAAAUUCCAAACAAAUUUGAAAGUUGAACAUUUUUUGAAUACGUAAACAAAAGUUGAAUACGUGAAGAAAAGAUAAAACAAAUAUGUUCAGAAAUUCAUGAAUCUUUUUAGAAAAUUGCAAACAAUUUUUGAAACGGAAAUAUUUUUUCAAAUCGCAAACAGUUUUUUAAAAGUUGUCAAAAUUUUGAACAAAAAUAUUCUAAACAAUUUGUUAACACAAAAUAUUUUUUGAAAAUUUCGAACAUUUUUUGAUAAAUGCAUAUUGUUUUUGAAUUUAUGAACAAAAUUUGAAAGCACGAACAUUUUUCAAAUUUUGAACAUUUUUGUAAAAGUGCAAACAUUUUUUUGAAAGAGAAAACAUAAACUUGAAAAACAAAAAAGAAAAAAAGAAAAGAAAAAGAAACAGAAAUAGAAAAAGAAAGAAAAAUAAAAACCGGUUCAGAAACCUUCUAGAAGGUUCCAAAACCGGAAAAAACCAGCUGGGAACCUCUAGAAGGUUCCCAAAACCGAGAGUGCUGGAACGGUUAAACGGGCCGACCCGUUGCGUCGCUGCUCGGUUGCUCGCCUGUACGAAGCGCUGGCAGUUUGACGCAACGAGCGGCGAAUAGGAUAUUCCGUUGAUCACAUGGAUCGAUCGGGCGAGCGUCAGGCUGCCGUGCGUACAUGCUGAGGAUAUCUGGCGCCUGGCGGCCCAUGGCAGGAGGCCCAUCAGGAGUAGUGCGCUGGCCCAAGCUGGGCUAGCAAGUCUGUGGACCAGGUGUUGGUGCAGCGCUGAAUCGGGCAACGGGUGCUUGUUCGCUGGAGCAGAUCGAGGAACGGAGGAAGCUUAUACGCGAGAUUUGUUUUGUGAAAAAAAGAGGACCGACACGGACGGAGACAAUCAAAUCGGCCAAGAAAAAUCCAGCUUGAUAUGUCUACAUCGGAAUUAGCAAGGGCAUAGGCCAGGCAAUUGCUAGCAUCUAGGGAGUUGAACCAAAGGAGCACUUCACGUGAGACCAACUGGGUAGUUGAUUUCUACUGGUGCGUGGACAUUAUGUUCGUCUACUUGGAGAUCACGGGAAGACUGCUUAAUUAUUUUUCACGGAGUCAGCCGUACAAAGAAUCCUGAUUCCAUCGGGUAUCGGGUUUGAGGUGGAAAAGUUCACGGAACUGAACAUCUUGAGUUAUGGUAGACAAGAGUGAAAAUUGUAUUGGCACAACAUGGAUGCUUGAAGGCGUUGCGAGAAGUCAUGUCAGCUAAGAUGAAAUUAUCAUGUGAUGGAUGGAAAUUCGUGAGACGAUUUGGGAGCCUUGAGCGUGUCGUUGCAGUCGGACAAGUCCGGCUGGGUUGGACUAGAUGGUCUGACGGAUCGAUGCAAGUCGAUUGAUACAGAAGACGGUAGUGGGAUCGACGAAGAUGACAUAGGAGCGUGAUGCUGAUGGUGACCGACUUCUGGGGCGUGGAAACACAUGGCGCAGGCCUGAGGGCUUGUGUGGCUUCGACAAGACUAUGGCGCGAGGUUGAUUCAAGACAGUACAGACGAAGCUUGAAGUCGACGGGGUGCAAGGGUGGACUGAUCAUCUACCAUGGAGUCAUGUUGAAGGUGAAGCUGGAGUCUGAAGGACUUCACUCAGUGCUGAUUGAGGGGCUACGGCGUAAGUUGACAGAGAGUCGAAGCCUAUUCAGCGGGAAAAAGCGAGUGACACGUAGUUUGGACUGGAGCCCAAUGGUCUGAUGGAAGCGCGAAACUCGUCAUCGGUCGGUGAUGAUCGAUGGUACUCCGCAGUGGGGGUUGAGUGGUGUGGGUUCGCGACCCUUGAGACUCGACCGGGACAGCGGAGGCUCGACGCGGUAAUAGCGGCGAGGCGUGCGGCACGCACGGGGCAUAGAGAUGGGCCAGGGCUCUGGCGGUCAUACAUGUGGUGAGACAACUGCGAAUUUGACUCGGGAUGACUACAAGCAAUGGUGAAAUUCCUUCAAGUUUCAGACAGACGGUCAAGAAAGGAGCGGUGAUGUUGAGUUCAGGUAACUUUUAUGUGUGACACCCAAUAUGUGAGUUGUUCAUUUUCACGCAGGUCAUUGAUCAAUAUGUGAUGUCGUUGGACUGAUACUCUGGAAGUUGGGAGCACAAACUAGAGUAACAAGAAACUUAAUUUUGCUCGAGUGUUGACUGUGGUCAAGAAAAGAAGGGACUACAAGUUGUAGGUGAAGUCACAUGGAGUCUUUGGAGUAGCAGCGGUGCUCAUGGGAUAAGCUCAAGUCCAAUGUACAUGGAAAUUUGACGCAUUGACGAAUUCAAGGUGGUGGAGAAUAUUCGCCAAGGUGGAGUUUGUUGGAGUUGUGUCGAAUAUUGUGUACAAGAUAGGUUACAGUUGGACUUGUAGUUGUAUUGUGUUUACAUAGGAUAUGGAGUCGUGUCCUAGUAGGACACUUGUAUCCUAUGCCUCUUAUAUAUAGCGGGGAUAGACACACGAUGUAACCUAUGCCAACAUAAUAGCACCGGAACGCAGGGGAAGCCGGCGGCAUGUGCCGGUGUCCAGGGCAACCGGGUGCGGUAUUGUGACGGUGUCAUGGGGAGAAGCGUCCAUAGUCAGGCCCCGGGGAUAUAGCCAUAUCGGUGAACCUCGUUAACAAAUCUCGGUGUCGUGCUCGUGUGAUUGCUUGAUCCUCGGAUGAUCGACGGUAUGCCUCGGAUUUAUUCUAACACGCGCGUUGCUGCAGAAUAUUAUAAUUCAUUUGACGUGUGAAUGUUGGCCCUGAGUGUUGAUUCACAUCACGACUCAAUUGUUAACAAACGUCUAUAUUCAUCCCGGGCAUUCAAAGGCAUAUGUUUACCAUAAACUGUCAAUCUAGGAAGUAAUCAGCUGAAACUUGGCUACAUACCACCAUAUUUCCGCAAAGCAGACUAAGAAAAUGACUCUAUACAAUCAAGUGCUAGGAUCAAUUAAAAUUGUGGAAACUAUAUCUGCAUCAUAGUUUAAAUAUUUGAUAACACUUAUGGUCUUCGUCCUUGUCCAGUUUUCACCAGUCCCAGUAAUGUCGAAAGAAACAUGACCUGAAAAUUACCGUUAAACAAAUAAGUACUUCAUGGAGGUAAAGUAGAGGCAUUAGAAGAAAAGUCAGUAUACACAUAUGCUAUGCAUACAUUUUGAUACAGCUCGCGUUAGACAAGCUUCUGAAAUGAUUUUUUUUACAUAUUCUGAAAACACUAAAGCUCUGUUUGGAUGUUUGCAUUGGGAGCCUUGGCAUUGCAUUGAGUUGAAUACCAAUAUCAGAGUAUAUUGGUAUUGAGAUUGAAUGCCAAUAUUUUUGUUUGGAUGUUUAGGUAUUCAGAAGACAUACUUGAUAUUGAGGUUGAAUGUCAAACGUUGUUUCGAUGGUCAAAGUGAGGAAUUGAUUGGAGACAUGCGCCGGAGAUCGGGAUGGAGGUGGGGCGGGCGAUGGCCGCUGGAGCUCGGGAUGGAGGUGACCAGGUGGGCGAGAUGGGCUACCUGCGCCUGGCCACUAAAGCUCGGGGUGGAUGCACGCUGGCCGCCGGAUCUCAGUGUGGAAGCGGGACAGGAGGAUGGCGCCGGCCGCCGGAGCUCGGGGUGGAGGCGGGGCGGAGGGUGGAAUCGGUGGCUGGAGCUCGGGGUGGAGGUGGUUGGGAUAAGCUACCUGCGCCGGGCCGCCAGAGCUCGGGGUGGAGGCAGGCCGGCCAUCGGAGCUCGAGGUGGAGGUGGGCGGGAUGGGGUGCAUGCGCCAUCGCCGCUCCUGGGCACUCACGGACAUGGGCGAGACCUGUCUCGAGUGGGGAUGGGAGGAACCACGUUGUUUUCCGAUACCUAGCGAUGUCGAGCACGUACCCACUGAAUUGGGCCUGGAGUUUUUUGCGUUAGCGAAGGCUUGCUCGAUAUCUAGCCCGAAUGCCACGACUGAAUGCCAAGGCCAACCAAACGGUGGCAUUCGGGAUAUUCGGCCCAAACAAAUGCCAAUACCCAAUACCAAGCCUGAAUGCUAACAUCCAAACGGAGCGUAAUCUAUAUUCAAUACAAAAUUAUAGUUUGCAUUCAUAGUCUUUUUUUGUGGUUUAAAGAAAGCAGUGUCAUUAUCAAAUUUCAACCCACUUACAAAUGUCCUAAGAUCGCUAUCUGUUUUUGUUGUUGGCUGAUUAGUAGCCAACGUGUUACAGGCAGCCCCAUCCAUAAGAAGUCCAGAGAUCUAGUAAGAGCAGCAUAGCAGGAAGCCAUGGAGCAAAAGCGUCCCAAAGACACAAAAAGGCUACCGUUUUGCCAGUCUGGUCUAUUCUGUUGAGAAAGUUGCUGCUCAGCACGCUCCAAAAAACAAAAAUAGCUCAGUUUCUCUUGACCAGAGAGUUAGAAAGGGAAUUGUGUUAAAGUUAUGUCGAAUAUUAUUGUACAAGUUAGGUUACAGUUGGACUUGGAGUCGUAUGGUGUGUGGACAGGAUAUGAAGUCGUGUUCAAGUAGGACACUUGUAUCCUAGGCCACUUAUAUAUAAUGAGGAUAGACACACGAUGUAACCUAUGCCAACAUAAUAGCACAUGCACGCGGGGGGAGCCGGCGGCGUGUGCCGGCGCCCGGACGGUCGGGAUGCGGUAUUGUGACGGUGUCACGGGGAAGAGCGCCUGUAGUCAUGUCCCGGGGAUGUAGCCAUGAUGAUGAACCUCGUUAACAAAUCUCGGUGUCGUGCUUGUGUGAUUAUUUGGUCUUCGGUAGAUCAACAGAACGCCUUAGAUUUAUUCUAACAAGUGGCAUCACGAGCAAGGUUAUGAGAAGGUCGCAGUUGUGUUUAAUAUAGAGGAAGGAGCGGAAGAAUCGAGUUAGUCGCAUGCGGCGAUGGAAAGAUUAGAUGGAUAUCUGCUCGAGAAGCAAUCGGAUUUCAGCGGCAACGGCAGAUCAGAUCGGUUUGCAGCAGCAGCUAAGUUCUCGGAGUCGGAUCGAGUAACGAUCAGGAGCACCCGCGCACAGGCAGGCAAGCGGCAGGCGAGGCCACGGACAGGCGUCGGGCAGAUCGAAUCAGAAGCAGCGGUGGCACGCACAUGCAACGCGUGUGGAGCAGCAGAUCGAGAUGUCAUAAGGCGGCGGCGUGAUGUGUACGAGCAGGGCUGCAGGCAGAGUGCUAGGACACGUGGUGCGAGGCAAGCGCGUGGAGGCAACGAGAGGCUGGCAUGCGCGGCAGGCUUGACGUGUGGCGAUAUGUUCGAUCGGGCGAGCGUCUGGCGGCCCAUGACAGGCAAGGCCCAUGGUGCGCUGGCGCUGCUGGAAAGCAGAGGCGCGUGCGCCUGGUCGGUUGAGCGUAGGUACGCAGCGGUGCAAGGGUCCGAUGAGAUUUGUUUGGACAAAAAGGUUCGGUUCUGGAAGGUGCUGCAGCGUGAUGGAACAUGGAAUUCACUGGCGACUAGCAUGUCGAUUUUGAGCAUGGAAAAGAAAAGAACAAGGAAAUUAGAAGUCACGUAGUGCUAUGGUUGUGGAGCGGAUGUAGUAAUGGAAUUGCUUGAGUUGGUUGCACACAUACACAAAACUACAAGGACUACUUUUGGGGUUCUUUGUUUCACACGCUAAGGAGAUCUCGGCAUGGCAGUAGUGAUGUUGUUCUGCUAGCAGUCAAAGGAGGACCGAAGACGGCGACAUGCAUGCGUAUAAGGCUCGGAGGAGUCUGGAUUGUGUCGUGACAGGAUCAUGCAAACACAGGGCAUCAAGCAAUGCACGGAGAUGUGCGGGCGGACAUGACGUAGGGUGGAGCAUGUUUGCAGUUGGAUAAUUUUGGUUGGGUCGGAUUGGACUGUCUGAUGGAUCGACGGGGAUGUCGGUCAAAGCAGGAGAUGGCGGUGAUUUCAGCGACGACGACACAGGAGCGUGAUGCUGAUGGUGGCCGACUUGUGGGGCGUGGAAACACGUGGUGCAGGCCUGAGGGCUUGUGCGGCUUCGACAAGACUAUGAUGCAGGGUUGAUUCAAGGUUGUGUACACAUGAGAGCUUGAGGUCGACAGGGCGUGGAGGUGGCACGUACAACCACCAUGGAGUCAUGUUGAAGGUGAAGCUGGAGUCCGGCGGAAGACUUCACUCUGUGCUGAUGGAGGGGCUACGGCGUAAGAAUUCACAGAGUCGAAGCCUAUUUCAGCGGGAUAGCGAGAGACACGUGGAUCGGACUAGGUACCAGUGGUCGGAUGGAGACCUGAUACUCGGCAUCGGUCGGUGAUGAUCGGUGAUUCUCUGCAGUGGGGGUUGAGGCAGUGUGGGCCAGCUACCCGAGAGACUCGACCAGGACAGCAGAGGCUCAAUGCGGUGAUAGCGGCGAGGCGUGCGGUAAGCACGGGACACAGCGACAGACCAAGGCACUAAUGGCGAGACGUGUGGUCAGACAAAGUGUGUAGGGGGUGCUGAAGCAGUGUUGACGAGUACCAGAUUCGAGCUGGUGACUGGGUCUAUCGGUGUCGGUUGAUGGACAAGAGUUGACCAUGGUGAAUCUGAGAAAGUGACAGGAAGUCUGGAAUUGUCUAAACAAAGAGAGUACAUGGUUGUAUAUUCUGUGGUGCUCGGUGCACAUGGAAAAGUGCAGAUGACAAGAUAGAAGGAGGCGGAGUGCUAUAGCUGUGGGACAUGUCAAAGACUAACCGGGAAAAAAAAGAUGAGACAAUUGUGAAUUUGACUCAGGAUGACACAGGGCGAUGGUGAAAUUCCUUCAAGUUUCAGACAGACGAUCAAGAAAGAGCGAUGUUGAGUUCAGGUAAUUCUUGUAUGUGACAUCCAAUAUGUGAGUUGUUCAUUUUCACGCAGAUAAAUUAUCGGUGUGUGAUGGCGUUGAACGGAAACAAUGGAAGUUGGGAGCACAAAGUAGAGUAAUGAGAAACUUAAUUUUGCUCGAGUGUUGACUAUGAAGAAGACGAGAAGGGACUACAGUUGCAGGUGGAGUCAUAUGGAGUCUGGGAGUAGCAGCAGUGUUCAUGGCGCAUCUCAAGUCCAAUGUACAUGGAGGUUCAACGCAUGGACGAAUUUAAGGUGGUGGAGAAUAUUCGCCAAGGUGGAGUUUAUUAGAGUUAUGUCGAAUAUUAUUGUACAAGUUAGGUUACAGCUGGACUUGGAGUCGUACGGUGUGUGGACAGGAUAUGGAGUCUGUCCAAGUAGGACACUUGUAUCCUAGGCCUCUUAUAUAUAGCGGGGGUAGACACACGAUGUAACCUAUGCCAACAUAAUAGCACAGGCACGCGGGGGAGCCGGCGGCGUGUGCCGGCGCCCGGGCGGCCGGGAUGCGGUAUUGUGACGGUGUCAUGGGGAGGACAGCUGUAGGNNNNNNNNNNNNNNNNNNNNNNNNNNNNNNNNNNNNNNNNNNNNNNNNNNNNNNNNNNNNNNNNNNNNNNNNNNNNNNNNNNNNNNNNNNNNNNNNNNNNNNNNNNNNNNNNNNNNNNNNNNNNNNNNNNNNNNNNNNNNNNNNNNNNNNNNNNNNNNNNNNNNNNNNNNNNNNNNNNNNNNNNNNNNNNNNNNNNNNNNNNNNNNNNNNNNNNNNNNNNNNNNNNNNNNNNNNNNNNNNNNNNNNNNNNNNNNNNNNNNNNNNNNGGGGGGGUUGAUUAGACUACUUGACCAACUAAAAAAUUAUCCUUUUCCCAAUUUUAGUCUUUGGCAGAUUUUAGCUAUCUUAGCACAAGUCAAGUAAUCUUAACACAAUUCAAGCAAGCAUGCAAAGAGUAUAUGAGCAGUGAAAAGUAAAGCAUGCAACUUGCAAGAAUGUAAAGGGAAGGGUUUGGAGAAUUCAAACGCAAUUUGGAGACACGGUGAUUUUUGAGCCGUGGUUCCGAUAGAUGGUGCUAUCGUACAUCCACGUUGAUGGAGACUUCAACCCACGAAGGGUAACGGUUGCGCGAGUCCAUGAAGGGCUCCACCCAUGAAGGGUCCACGAAGAAGCAACCUUGUCUAUCCCACCAUGGCCGUCGCCCACGAAGGACUUGCCUCACUAGCGGUAGAUCUUCACGAAGUAGGCGAUCUUCUUGCCCUUACAAACUCCUUGGUUCAACUCCACAAUCUUGUCUGAGGCUCCCAAGUGACACCUAGCCAAUCUAGGAGACACCACUCUCCAAGAAGUAACAAAUGGUGUGUUGAUGAUGAACUCCUUGCUCUUGUGCUUCAAAUGAUAGUCUCCCCAACACUCAACUCUCUCUCACAGGAUUUGAAUUUGGUGGAAAAAGGAUUUGAGUAGAAAGCAACUUGGGGAAGGCUAGAGAUCAAGAUUCAUAUGGUAGGAAUGGAAUAUCUUGGCCUCAACACAUGAGUAGGUGGUUCCUUCUCAGAAACAACAAGUUGGAAGUGUAGGUUUGUUCUGAUGGCACUCUCUCCGAAUGAAGAGGAGGUGGAGGGGUAUAUAUAGCCUCAACACAAAAUCUAACCAUUACACACAACUUGCCAAACUUGGUGGGACCGAAUUGGUAAACUCGGUCGGACCGAUUUAGCAAAUCUAGUGACCGUUAGGAUUUUCGGUGGGACCGACAUGCAACUCGGUAGGACCGAUAUGGUCAGGGUUAGGGCAUAACGUAAUCUCGGUGAGACCGAUUACACAAACUCGGUGAGACCAAUUUUGGUAAUAAGCUAACCAGAGAGUUGGUCAGGUAAACUCGGUGGGACCGGUUCGCUCAUUUCGGUGGGACCGAAAUGUUACGAAAAGGAAACAGAGAGUUUACAUUGCAAUCUCAGUGGGACCGAUCGCUCAUCUCGGUGGUACCGAAACGUUAUGAAAGGAAACAGAGAGAUUACAACCCCAUCUCGGUGAGACCGAGAUCCCUAUCGGUGAGACCGAUUUGCCUAGGGUUUGUGGCAGUGGCUAUGAUAUCUGAACUCGGUGGCGCCGGGUAGAAAGAAUCGGUAGGGCCGAGUUUGACUUUUGGUUUAGGUCAUAUGUGGAUAUGAGAAAGUAGUUGAGGGUUUUGGAGCAUAUCACUAAGCACUGUGGAGCAAGAAACUCAUUAAGCAACACCUCAUCCCUCCUUGAUAGUAUUGACUUUUCCUAUAGACUCAAUGUGAUCUUGGAUCACUAAAAUAUAAAAUGUAGAGUCUUGAGCUUUUGAGCUUGAGCCAAUCUUUUUAUCCUUAGAAUUUUGAGGGAUCUACUUUUCUCAUUCAUGCCAUGCCAUUUAUUGAGCUUUUUCCUGAAAUAUUCAUCUUGGAAUGAUGUUAGCUCAAUGAGCUAUAUGUUGUUAGGAAUUACCAAAACCACCUAGGGAUAGUUGCACUUUCAAUCUCCCCUUUUUGGUAAUUGAUGACAACAUAUAGAUCAAAGCUUCGACAAAUGAUAAUAAGAGUGAAAAACAUUGUCGCUUUGAGAAGUAUGUGAUAAGCAAGAGCUCCCCCUAAAUUUGUGCAUAGUUUAAGAUUUGCUUUGGACUGCAAAUGCACAAGGAGUUAGGCUCAUGGGUAACUCUUCCAUGUCACAUACAUCUUGGUGAAGCGCUCAAAAUGAUAAUGAUUGAAUACAUGCACUCAUCACGAAGCAAAGUGAAUGAUCAUAUAGAGAUAAACGAGAUAAUGUCAUCCAACAAGCAUAAAUGUAGCAUAUGAUCAAACACAUGAUCAUCCAAGUAUCACACAGACAUAGAGUAUCUCAAACAAGCAAAUAAAGUUCAACCACCAAAGCAAGAGAGAAUAAAAAGCAACACUCUCUCUCGAAGCCUAUAAUCUAUACAUUUUUCUCCCCCUUUGGCAACAAGUUACCAAAAAGUUUAUAGAAAAUACAUAGCACUAAAUCGACUCUCAGGCUUGAUCUUCAGGUGGUGGUGUAGAGAUGGCUCCUUGGACGAAGACUUCAGUAUAUGUGGAUGGAGCUGGAGGUGUGGGUGCUGAAGGUGGUUGCACUGGAGCUGUAGGAGCUGUAGCUGGUGCAGAUGAAGUGGCUCUGGUGUCUGUCACUGGCACUACAGCUGAUCUCUGAGCUCUAGGCACUCUGGCAAAUGCAUCAGUGGUUGUCUUGCCCUUCCUCUCCUCCAUGUCAUCCUGAAGCUGCUCAACAACAGACUGGAUCUCAGUUACCUUCACAUCCAAGUCAUAGAACUUCUGCUCCAUGGUCCUCUCCAGGCUCUCCUGGUUUUGAGUCAAGGUGACCAGCCCCUUCUCAAUCCUCAGAGUGGAUGCAAUCAAGUAGCCUAGUUGAUCUUGUUUGCUCUUCAGAAAGUACUAAGAUGCCUCUUCCAUUGUUGGCAUCUUGGUAGCGUUCUCUGUCUUUGCCUUCUCCUUCUUGGCUUGAGCAUGCAUAGAAGAUGGUUCAUCUUCAUCCAUAAUCACUUGGUUGUCCUCAAAUUCUGGAUAGAUAGGCAUGUGAUCCUUGUCCAACAAGUAUGUUCCUGUGCCCAUCUUGGAGUUAAUCAGCUCCUGAAUCUGUGGGGCAUACCCACAACUUCUCUUCUGGUCAGCUGCUGUCCUCUUGAUAGUCUCAACUAUAAGGCUCAUGACCUUGAACUUCUGUGGCACAUCAAAUAAGUGUAGCAAGUUUAUAGCAUGGCCUCUUAUCACGUUGUGGUCACCUGACUUGGGCAAUAGAGUAUGCCUGAGGAUCCAGUUGAUAGUUGGGAGUCCUGACAGAAGAUAAUGUAUAGAUCCAAACUUAUGUGUCUCAACUGCAGCAUCUGGGAUCUCCUUGUACAUAUGAGCCACGGAAUUGUGAUCCAUCUUCUUCUUGGCAUAGACAUCCAAGUCAUCUUCCUUCUCCUUAGGUGCAUUGAUCAGAUUUGCCCAUUCCUCAAUAGUUGAUUGGUACCUUGUACCUUCAGACAUCCACACUAUCCUGCCAUCUGGAUAGAAAUGUGCUAUGGAGUAGAAUUGCAUUAUGAGCUUAUGAUUCCACUUUGUGAGCUUCUGCCCAACAAAGUCUACAACUCCACAAGCACUAAAACUGUCUUGCACACCAGGAUAGUGUUCCUCAUUCUCCUUCAUGUAGGUCCAGUUGGCCCACCUCAUGUCACAAACUAUAGGCUUCUUGUCCAACAACACUGUCUCAUAGAAAUCCUGUUGUUCCUUAGUAUGGAACCUGUAAUCAAGAGCAGUCCUUCUCCUGAUAGCAUAAGGAUCAGACAACCUCCAUUGUCUGAGGCCUGCAUCCUUUCUCAGCUUCAUGUUCUCAGCCACAGGAUGAGCAUCAUUGUGGUCUGGAAUCUUUGGCUUCAACUUUAUCAAAACAUGCUCUUCAUCUUCUUCUUCUUCAGCAACAGUCUCAGGCACUGGGGCCUUGUUCUUCUCAGCAGCAGAUAUGUUUCUGGUAUUCCUCUUUGGUGCAGUCUUUGGUUUGGAGGCAGCUUUGGGUGCUUCUUUGGGCUUUGAUGAUGCAGCCCCUGACAUAAUAUCAUCACCCAUAAGCUUCUGAGCCUUGGGUGCUGGUGCAGCAACCUCUUCUUCCUCUUCAUCAUCAGAAGAAUGCUUCUCAAAUUCUGCCAUUGGAUCAACUUUCUUGCACCAUCUCCCUCUCUUUCUUUCCUUCUUCUUUCCUUCUACAGCAGCCUCUUUGGGUUGAGAUUCCAAAGGUACUUGAGUAGAGGCUCUGGCUUUAGACAUGGGGGUUCUCUUUGCAGGCACUUUGGUCUUCAUACCAGGCUUAAUAGCAGCAGCUGUGCCAUACUCCUUUUUGAGCACUUUCUUCUUGGAAGUGGCCUCAUCCUCUACUGCCACAUAGUCUUCAUCCUCAGAUUCUGAGGUUUUCUUCUUUCUGGCCCUGGUGGGAGCUUUAGGCAAAUUGCUUGGGGUGCUCCUGCUGCCCUCAUCAGAGGUACUAGAGGGACUAGUGCCCUCACUCAUCUGAACUUGCUCCUCUUCUUUGUUCUGGCUGUCACUUUGAUCAGACAUAUUGCAAACACUGACUGCUGACCCUGUGAAUAGAUGUAGAUGAAAUGGAGUGGAUGAGUAUCACAAAAUACAGAGGUUUUUGCAAAAGAAUGAUUCAAAAACUUAGUUUUAGUUUUCCACAGAAAGCAUUUCAGAUCAACCAAUUUGCAAACUCCGUGAUACCGAAGCAGCUUUUGGAACCAAAACUAGUGAACUCGGUCAGACCGAGUCACAGUUCAGUGGCACCGAGACUGCUAGGGUUUCACAAAGUCCUGAACUCGGUCACACCGAUUUACAAUUCUCGGUCAGACCGAGAAUCACUUGUGCAAUGACAUUAACCAAAUCAGUGGAACCGAGUUCUACAACUCGGUGGGUCCGAGAUGGUUUCGGCUGAAACCUAACCCUAAAUUUUCAAUUCACUUCUAAUCUAAGGAUUGUUUUGACUGGAUAGACUUGUUUCAAUCGUGGCAAGAAUCAUGAUGAACACAAUGUGCUAGGAAUCGGACGGGGAUAGCACUGUGAUCGAGUCCAUACCCUAGCUUGGCGAUGAACUCGCUACGGCGGAAACGGCGGGGGUGAAUUCCAUUGACGGCGGCGAAGACCAGCGACUGGAGGCGGCUGGUGAUGAGGAGGACGAUCCGAAGACCCUGGAGGCAGAGCGAGCUAUGCACGAGCGAUGGGGUUUGGAGAAAGUUUCCAAAUUUUUGCCCGUGAGUAUAUAUAGCCUGACCAUGUUGGUGUGACCAAGUGGAACAACUCGGUGGCACCGAGAUGCAUAAUUGUUGACAGUUGCAGCAACUCGGUGUGACCGAAAAGUUCAAAUCGGUUGCACCGAGAUUGAAAACCUAGAUCGACUUAGUGAUCUCGGUAUGACCGAAAUGGAGGAAUCGGUCAGACCGAAACGCACAAAGAAGUUUUGGAAGUUUAAGUCUAUGACGAAUCGGGGACUCCGAGUGCUCCUCGCACAGAGUGGUUCGAAUCUGACUUGAUCAAAUUUUGUGAAGUAGCAUGAAUAGAGUUUGAGACGAGAAAAGCAUAGAUAGCUAGAGAAGGUUCUUAGACAUUCUUGUCCAGCCACUUGGCAAAAGAAAAAGAAUCCAAUCAAUCAAAACAACAAGUGGAUGUCCUCGAAUGAGUAAAAUAUGCAACCAACAUGCUCACACAAUAAAAUGGCAAAUGAAAUAUGUGGCAAAGCAUGCACAAACAAUUCUAGUAUCUAUCAAACAAUUGGCGAUGACUAGGUCAUCUAUAUAUGAGUAUAUUGACUUAGGAGUCAAAUGAGAACAUUUGAUCAUAGGUCAUACUCAUCAUUUAAGCUCAAGUGGGGUUACCACUUUUACGUAAUGCAUUGAUGUGUUCACACUAUUAGAGUUGCUUUGACUCAAUUCUUAGAGUUAAGCUCCCCCUAGGUGUGAGAUCCCCCCUUAGAGGGAUAAACUAACCUUGGGUUUUGUCGAUGAUGGCUUGAUGUAGGUGUUGAAGAUGUGGAUGCUCAAUGUUAAUGUAGAUCAUUUGGAGCAAUCCUUUGGAAUGAGUUGCACUUUCAAUACCUACACGGGUUAGUCCCACAAGGAACAAACAAGGAUAUCCAUAGACAUAGAGUGAUGCACACACAAGAUGAUGUCUAUGAAACCAUUUAGAUUACCUUGUCCCUUGUCUUACCAACAAGAGGGUUUGUGAAUCCUUGAACUAGUGCAAGAUGUGGAAGUUGAUUGCACUUAUUGUUGCCAAAAUGAUAUGAGUGAAAUAUGUUGGCGGAGUCACCCUCAAGAACUCUCUAGUUCUUCUUCUUCGGGAUCCACAUCAUCUUGAUGGGAAUCCUGGGAGUUGUAGUCGUACUUGAUGAAGUAGAACUUGAUGUAGUCUUGGGAACCCACUUGACCAAGGCCUUAGGAGCUUCUUCAAAUGCAUCAAUCUCCUCUUGAAGCUUGUCCUUGCCCUUUUGCUUGUGGUCUUGUGGUGGAAGAUCAUCUUGAGAUUGUGUCCCCUUGAAGGAAGUAGGAUCAUACUUCUCUUGUUGAGGAACAAACUUCGUCUUGGGAUAUUGAUCUUCUUUCCACUCAACUCCAUUGGCAUUGAACUUUCGUUCAAAACCAACACCUUGAUUCUUCCGGUGCCUUCCUUGCUUGCGUACAAUUUCCUCAAAUUGCUUACUCCUGGCAAGGCUCUUGUAAACACCUUUCUCUAUAAUUCCCUUCAAUAAGCUAUUUUCUCGCUCAAGUGUAACUUGGCUAAGAGAAUCAUUAGUGGAAUCAAAAGAACUACUAGAGGCAACAACAUUUGAUUUAGCAUGAUUAUUGUUACUACUAGAGGAAGAAUCCUUCUUGUUCUUGUUAAUGGACUUGACUUGAGGCAUGUAAGUAGAUAAGAGUAAACGAUUGGCAAUGUAAGAAGAACUUUUCUUACGAAGAUCAUCAUUGACUGCCUUUAAGAACUCAUGCUCUUGCUCAAGAUUGAGCUUUUCAAAGCGUAACUUCUCAUGAGUCCUUAAAAGUUCUCAUGAUCUUCUAAGAUAGUUUCAUGAGCUAACUUAAGAGUGUUUAGUUCUUUAGUUAUAAGCUCUUCUCCUUAUCAUUGUCAUUCGUUUUAUCUUGAUUAGCAUGAUUAAUUAACGUUUCAUCAUAGUAUUCAUCACUAGAGUUGUCAACAAGUAAAUCAUCAUCACCUAGCAAGUCAUCUUCAUCACUAUUGAAAUCAACAUACUCGGGGUGUGUUACCUUUGGGCCUUUAGCCAUGAAGCAUCUUCCAAUUCCUUCAUUGGGUGAAUCAAAUAUGUCAUAGGAGUUGGUUGACACAAGUGCUAGACCGGCAACACCUUCAUAUUGAGUAUAUUCGGAGUCAGAGUGAUAGCUUCUCUCGGAGUGAUUGUCGGAGUCGGAGCCGGACACCCAUUCACCAACAUGAGCUUGAGGUCUUCGUUUUGUGUAGCUCCUUGAUGACUUGUCCUUCCUUUCCGAAUCCUUGCUUCUCCGGGAUGUUCUUCGUUCAUAACGAUCAUCUCCACUCCUCCUCUCUCUUGGUGGUGAUUCUUCUCUUCUACUUCUCCUCUUGGGUGAUUCUUCUCUUCUUUUGUGGGGUGCCAUACACUUAUUGGAAUAGUGUCCGAGUCUCCCACAAUUGUAGCAAUUGCGCUCUCGACUAGAAGAUCUUUUGUCAUUGUAGGACCUUGACUUGGAGCUUCUUUCUUUGCUUCUACUCUUGUAGAACUUGUUGAAGUUUUUCACCAUUAAGCUCAAUUCUUCAUUGAAGGUUUGUUUCUCACAUGAUGAUGUGGGGGCUUCACAUGAGGCUUUGUAAGCACCACGUGCCUUGUUGUGAAGUUCCUCCUUAUCCUUGAGUGGCAUCUCAUGAGCAACAAUUCUUCCAAUGACUUCCGUUGGCUUGAGAUCUUUGUAAUUUGGCAUCAUUUGGAUCAAUGUGCACACGAUAUCAUAUUUUCCGUCCAAAGCUCUUAGGAUCUUCUUGAUGAUGAAUUUGUCGGUCAUCUCUUCACUUCCUAAGCCCGCAAUCUCAUUUGUGAUAAGAUCAAGCCUAGAGUACAUUUCAACGACACCUUCACCAUCCUUCAUUUUGAACUUGUCAAGUUGACUUUGGAGCACAUCCAACUUGGAUUCCUUGACGGAGUCGGUACCUUCAUGCAUAUCAAUCAAAGUGUCCCAAAUUUCCUUUGCAUUCUCAAGACGGCUGAUUUUGUUGAAUUCUUCGGGGCACAAUCCGUUGAAGAGGAUAUCACAAGCUUGAGCGUUGUAUUGCAGUAUCUUCAACUCUUCUGCACUCGCUUCACGGUUCGGUUCUCUCCCAUCAAAGAAUUCACCUUGCAAGCCAAUACACACAAUAGCCCAAACGGCGGGGUUAUGUCCAAGAAUAUGCAUUUUCAUCUUAUGCUUCCAACUAGCAAAAUUAGUACCAUCAAAGUAAGGACCUCUAUGGUGAUAAUUUCCCUCGCUAGAUGCCAUACUCUUCUAGGUUGUGAAACCAAGGCUAUGACCACCAAAAGCUAUGGAAAUCAAAGCAAAUGCAGACCAAGGCUCUGAUACCACUUGUAGGAUCGAAAGUAUGUCUAGAGGGGGGGGUGAUUAGACUACUUGACCAAAUAAAAACUUAUCCUUUUCCCAAUUUUAGUCUUUGGCAGAUUUUAGCUAUCUUAGCACAAGUCAAGCAAUCUUAACACACUUCAAGCAAGCAUGCAAAGAGUAUAUGAGCAGCGGAAAGUAAAGCAUGCAACUUGCAAGAAUGUAAAGGGAAGGGUUUGGAGAAUUCAAACGUAAUUUGGAGACACGGUGAUUUUUGAGCCGUGGUUCCGAUAGGUGGUGCUACGUACAUCCACGUUGAUGGAGACUUCAACCCACGAAGGGUAAUGGUUGCACGAGUCCAUGGAGGGCUCCACCCACGAAGGGUCCACGAAGAAGCAACCUUGUCUAUCCCACCAUGGCCGUCGCCCACGAAGGACUUGCCUCACUAGCGGUAGAUCUUCACGAAGUAGGCGAUCUCCUUGCCCUUACAAACUCCUUGGUUCAACUCCACAAUCUUGUCGGAGGCUCCCAAGUGACACCUAGCCAAUCUAGGAGACACCACUCUCCAAGAAGUAACAAAUGGUGUGUUGAUGAUGAACUCCUUGCUCUUGUGCUUCAAAUGAUAGUUUCCCCAACACUCAACUCUCUCUCACAGGAUUUGGAUUUGGUGGAAAGAGGAUUUGAGUAGAAAGCAACUUGGGGAAGGCUAGAGAUCAAGAUUCAUAUGGUAGGAAUGGAAUAUCUUGGCCUCAACACAUGAGUAGGUGGUUCCUUCUCAGAAACAGCAAGUUGGAAGUGUAGGUUUGUUCUGAUGGCUCUCUCUCCGAAUGAAGAGGAGGUGGAGGGGUAUAUAUAGCCUCAACACAAAAUCUAACCGUUACACACAACUUGCCAAACUCGGUGGGACCGGAUUGGUAAACUCGGUCGGACCGAUUUAGCAAAUCUAGUGACCGUUAGGAUUUUCGGUGGGACCAACAUGCAACUCGGUAGGACCGAUAUGGUCAGGGUUAGGGCAUAACGUAAUCUCGUUGAGACCGAUUACACAAACUCGGUGAGACCGAUUUUGGUAAUAAGCUAACCAGAGAGUUGGUCAGGUAAACUCGGUGGGACCAGUUCGCUCAUUUCGGUGGGACCGAAAUGUUACGAAAAGGAAACAGAGAGUUUACAUUGCAAUCUCGGUGGGACCGAUCGCUCAUCUCGGUGGUACCGAAACGUUACGAAAGGAAACAGAGAGAUUACAACCCCAUCUCGGUGAGACCGAGAUCCCUAUCGGUGAGACCGAGUUGCCUAGGGUUUGUGGCAGUGGCUAUGACAUCUGAACUCGGUGGCGCCGGGUAGAAAGAAUCGGUAGGGCCGAGUUUGACUUUUGGUUUAGGUCAUAUGUGGAUAUGAGAAAGUAGUUAAGGGUUUUGGAGCAUAUCACUAAGCACUGUGGAGCAAGAAACUCAUUAAGCAACACCUCAUCCCUCCUUGAUAGUAUUGGCUUUUCCUAUAGAAUCAAUGUGAUCUUGGAUCACUAAAAUAUAAAAUGUAGAGUCUUGAGCUUUUGAGCUUGAGCCAAUCCUUUUAUCCUUAGCAUUUUGAGGGAUCCACUUUUCUCAUCCAUGCCAUGCCAUUCAUUGAGCUUUUUCCUGAAAUAUUCAUCUUGGAAUGAUGUUAGCUCAAUGAGCUAUAUGUUGUUAGGAAUUACCAAAACCACCUAGGGAUAGUUGCACUUUGAACCGCCCGUAGUCAUGCCCCGGGGAUGUAGCCAUGAUGGUGAACCUCAUUAACAAAUCUCGGUGUCGUGCUUGUGUGAUUUUUUGGUCCUCGGUAGAUCGACGGAGCGCCUCAGAUUUAUUCUAACAAGACCCCCGCUCUUAUAAGUCGUGUUAUGUCUCCCCCCACAAUCGAUGUGGGACUAAACCCAACAAUCUCCCCCUCACACAUCGGUUAUCCAUGGGCCCGCUAACACCAGCGUUUCUAGCCCGCCAACCAUGACCGACCACCCGUGACUCUAUCGAGAUUCAUUCCGGGCACCUGGGCCCUGAUACCAAUUGUUAGAAUAAAUCCAAGGCGCUCCGUUGAUCUACCGAGGACCAAGCAAUCACAUGAGGCAUGACACCGAGAUUUGUUAACGAGGUUCACCAAUAUGGCUACAUCCCCGGGGCCUGACUACGGACGCUCCUCCCCAUGACACCGCUACAAUACCGCACCCCAGCCGCCCGGGCGCCGGUACACGCCGCCGGCUCUCCCGCGUGUCCGUGCUAUUAUGUUGGCAUAGGUUACAUCGUGUGUCUACCCCCGAUAUAUAUGAGAGGCCUAGGAUACAAGUGUCCUAUUAGGACACAACUCCUACCCUGUCUGUACAUAGUUCAAAACCAAGUCCAACUGUAACCUAACUUGUACAAUAAUAUUCGACAUAACUCUAACAAACUCCACCUUGGCGAAUAUUCUCCACCACCUUCGAUUCAUCUGUGCGUCGAACCUCCAUGUACAUUGGACUUGAGAUACACCAUGACCACUGCUGCUACUCCCAGACUCCAUGUGACUCCACCUGCAACUGUAGUCCCUUCUUGUCUUCUUCGCAGUCAACACUCGAGCAAAAUUAAGUUCCUUAUACUCUAGUCCGUGCUCCCAACUUCCAGAGUAUCCGUCCAACGCCAUCACACACCGAUCACUGACUUGCGUGAAAGUGAACAACUCACAUAUUGGGUGUCACACAUAAGAGUUACCUGAACUCAACAUCACUGCUCUUCCUUGACCGCCUGUCUGAAACUUGAAGGAAUUUCACCGUUGCCUUGUGUCACCCUGAGUCAAAUUCGAAGUUGUCUCACCCUUUUUCCGGGAUAGUCUCUAGCAUGUCCCAUAGCUAUAACACUCCGCCUCCUUCUGUACUUGUCAUCUGCACUUUACCAUGUGCACCGAACACCACAGAAUAUACGGCCAUGUACUCUUUCAGCCUUUGACAAUUUCAUACUCUCUGCCACUUUCUCAGAUUCUCCAUGGUCAACUCCUGUCCAUCAACCGGCACUGAUAGACCCAGUCACCAACUUGAAUCCGGUACUCGACAACACUGCUUCAGCACCCCCUGGACACUUUGUCUAACAACAUAUCUGACCACCGGUGCCCUGGCCUGUCGCUGUGUCCCGUGCUUACCGCACGCCUCGCCGCUAUCACCGCGUCGAGCCUCUGCUGUCCUGGUCGAGUCUCCUGGGUAGCUAGCCCCCACUGUCUCAACUCCCACUGCAGAGAACCACCGAUCAUCACCGACCGAUGCCGAGUAUCACAUCUCCGUCAGACCAUUGGGCCCUAGUCCGAUCCACGUAUCUCUCGCUAUCCCGCUGAAAUAGGCUUUGAUUCUCCGAUAUCUUACACCGUAGCCCCUCCAUCAGCACAGAGUGAAGUCCUCCGUUAGACUCCAACUCCACCUUCAACAUGACUCCAUGUAGCUUGGCCGUGCUACCCCGCGCCCUGUCGACUUCAAGCUAUCAUGUGUACACUGCCUUGAAUCAACCCCGCGCCUUAGUCUUGUCAAAGCCGCACAAGCCCUCAGGCCUGCACCACGUGUUUCCACGCCCCAGAAGUCGGCCACCAUCAGCAUCACGCUCCUAUGUCGUCGUCGCUAAAAUCACCGCCUUCUUCUGCUUUGACCUACAUCCCCGUCGAUCCAUCAGACAGUUCAGUCCGACCCAACCGAAAUUAUCCGAUUGCAACCAUGCUCCAUCCUGCGUCGUGUCCGCCUCUACACAUCUCCGUGCAUUGCCUUGACGCCCUGUGUAUGCAUGAUCCCAACAUGAUGUGCUCCAGACUCCUCCGAGCCUCAUACGUAUGUCGCCUGUCUUGAUUUCCAUUCGACCAUCAAUACCGAACAACGCUGUCGCUGCAUUCCUACCAUCUUCAAUCCAUGUACAAAGCAAAGAAUUCCAAAAGAAAUAACACCCGGAACCUUCUUGUUUACCUGUAGCAAGCCACCACACACAAGUUUCCUGAACUACUCUUUUCAUCUUUACACACGUACUCAAUCGAUCCAUGGCCAUCAAUGUUCACGCCCUGGUGACAAGACAACACCAAGCGACACCCUUUGAUCGCAGCAGAACGACAUCUUUUUUCCUUUAACAAAUUUCCUGCAUGUAGCUCUAGCUCCUUUCAUACAGCAUGUACGAUCACGCGGACCUCUGCCUAGCUCGGACUAAGCCUUGCUCUUCCAGGCCUCCUGCCAUGGGCCACGCCGAGCUCUAGCCCCGCAGGGCCCGUAGCACCAGCACCAGCGCUUGGGUCCCUGGCCCACAGGCCGCGCGUACCCGUCAGCGCAACACGCUCGGCCACCGCAUGCCCUAGCGCUCCUGCCGCCGCAUGUGCCCGAUACGAACUCCGCCACAGCUUUUGAUCUGCCAAUCUUCUGCCGCUGCUGUCCGCUAGGUCUGUCAGCUUCCGCCACAUGCCCUGCUGCUUGAUGCUGGCUUCCGCCUGGUCCAGCACUGGCCACCAUGUCGCCCCACACCCGACGCACGAACACACCAGCCGCACGCGCUUGCACCUGCUGGGCUGCUGCCCUAGCGCUUUGCUUGCGCACCCUUGCGGCUACAUGUUACACCGCCGCCGCACGCUCCCGAUCUCGUCGAGAUACACGCCGCGCUGGUUCGAUUGCUUCUUGACACGAACAGAACCCCCGCUAUCCCAUCGAUCUUGCCCUGUCGCACUACUCGACCACUGAUCAAUUUGACGAAUUCUGCUCCACCUCUAGAUCAAUAGCUGCAACCUCAAAUCGAACCUUGCUCAUGAUACCACUUGUUAGAAUAAAUCUAAGGCGCUCCAUUGAUCUACCGAGGACCAAGCAAUCACACGAGGCAUGACACCGAGAUUUGUUAACGAGGUUCACCGAUAUGGCUACAUCCCCGGGGCCUGACUACGGGCACUCCUCCCCAUGACACCGCUACAAUACCGCACCCCUGUCGCCCGGGAGCCGGCACACACUUCCUGUGCUAUUAUGUUGGCAUAGGUUACAUCAUGUAUCUACAUCUGAUAUAUAUGAGAGCCCUAGGAUACAAGUGUCCUAUUAGAACACAACUCCUACCCUGUCUACACACAGUCCAAAACCAAGUCCAAUUGUAACCUACCUUGUACAAUAAUAUUCAACACAACUCUAACAAACUCCAUCUUGGCGAAUAUUCUCCAUCACCUUGGAUUCAUCCAUGCGUCAAACCUCCAUGUACAUCGGACUUGAGAUACGCCAUGAGCACCGCUGCUACUCCCAGACUCCACGUGACUCCACCUUCAAUUGUGGUCCCUUCUUGUCUUCUUCACAGUCAACACUCGAGCAAAAUUAAGUUCCUCGUUACUCUACUUUGUGCUCCCAACUUUCGGAGAAUCCGUUCAACGCCAUCACACACCGAUCAUUGUUUGCGUGAAAGUGAACAACUCACGUAUUGGACGCCACAUAUAAGAGUUACCUGAACUUAACAUCACCGCUCCUUUCUUGACCGCCUGUCUGAAACUUGAAAGAAUUUACCAUUGCCCUGUGUCACCCUGAGUCAAAUUCGCAGUUGUCUCAUCCUUUUUUUCCCCGGUUAGUCUUUGACAUGUCCCCUAGCUAUAGCACUCCGCCUCCUUCUGUCUUGUCAUCCGCACUUUGCCAUGUGCACCGAGCACCAUAGAAUAUACGGCCAUGUACUCUCUCUGUUUUGACAAUUCCAGACUUCCCGCCACUUUCUCAGAUUCACCAUUGUCAACUCUUGUCCAUCAACCGGCACCGAUAGACCCAGUCACCAACUCGAAUCUGGUACUCGUCAACACUGCUUCAGCACCCCCUGCACACUUUGUCUGACCACACGUCUCACCAUUAGUGCCUUGGUCUGUCGCUGUGUCCCGUGCUUACCGCACGCCUUACCGCUAUCACUGCGCCGAGCCUCUACUGUCCUGGUCGAGUCUCCCGGGUAGCUGGCCCACACUGCCUCAACCCCCACUGCAGAGAAUCACCGAUCAUCACCGACUGAUGCCGAGUAUCAGGUCUCCAUCCGACCACUGGUACCCAGUCCGAUCCACGUGUCUCUCGCUAUCCCGCUGAAAUAGGCUUCGACUCUCCGAAUUCUUACGCCGUAGCCCCUGCAUCAACACAGAGUGUAGUCUUCCAUUAGACUCCAACUCCACCUUCAACAUGACUCCAUGGUGGUUGUACGUGCCACCCUCCCGCGCCCUGUCGACUCCAAUCUCUCAUGUGCACCGUCUUGAAUCAACCCCGCGCCAUAGUCUGUCGAAGCCGCACAAGCCCUCAGGCCUGCACCACGUGUUUCCACGCCCCAGAAGUCGGUCACCAUCAGCAUCACACUCCUAUGUCGUCGUCGCUGAAAUCACCACCGUCUUCUACUUUGACCAACAUCCAUGUCAGUCCAUCAGACAAUCCAGUCCGACCCAGCCGAAAUUAUCGGACUGCAACCAUGCUCCACCCUGCGCCGUGUCUGCCCACACAUCUCCGUGCAUUGCUUGACGCCCUGUGUUUGCAUGAUCCUGUCACGGCGUGCUCUAGACUCCUCCGAGCCUUAUACGCACGUCGACAACCUCGCCACCUGCACCAUAGACUCUCGCUACCAUCCACAUACACAACCUGUGUACAAAGAAAUAAAGCCAAAAAACCACCACAUGAGCCUUCCUAUAUACACUUAUCCGUGAAGAUCAAUGGAAUAAACUCCCAACUCCACAUCUGUUCCUGUAGGCUGUAGGUCUAGCUUUUCUCUUCUUCCGAUGGAUAGCACCGGUCUCCGUUGCGUAGCUCUUUUUUUUCAAACAAAUCACAUGUCUUUGCCUUUGCGUAUCUAGCAGCACUCUUUGCACGCACACAUCAGGCACUCAUGUGCGGUUGGGCAACGCCCGCUGCCCCGGAUCUAGCUUGCUCCAGUGUCAGCGCCCUUGCACGCCCCGUGUAGACGUCCACCUGGACCUGGGCUGGACCCCACGAGCCGCCGAAUAGGGCCUACGGCUGGCACACGAUCCCCUGUAGCUGGCCUGCCCCUGGCCAUCAAGUCAUGUGCUUCUUUGCGCUUCCUGUCUCCUGCUGCUCCACGCUUACGCGUACGGCGCCGUUUUUUGAUCUCACCGAAAAGCACCGUCCGAUCCAAUUGAAAUUGCCUCUCCCAAUCGAUCUCUCCGAAAACCGCUGCACGCUUCUCCGGAUCGCUUCCAACCUCGCUGACUGAUUCUUGACCCAUCGUUCCUCCUGCUAGCUUCAGGUUGUCAAUCUCCACCUAUCGCCGAACAUACCAAUGGAACGAACCGAUCUAAUCUUUCAGCGACAUCACCUCUAGAUCAAUUCCACGGCCUCUUCAAACCUUGCUCAUGAUACCACUUGUUAGAAUAAAUCUGAGGCGCUCCGUCGAUCUACCGAGGACCAAACAAUCAUGUCAGUCCAUCAGACAAUCCAGUCCGACCCAGCCGAAAUUAUCGGACUGCAACCAUACAUAGGGGUAUUAUGUUGGCAUAGGUUACAUAAUACCCCUAUGUAGCAUACGGUGUGUUGACAGGAAGCGUAUUUGGAGGUGCAUGCGUGGUGACCGAGAAGUCGAUCAGCGCUGGAUCAAGCCGUGGCCCAUCAGGGGUGCAACGUGGUGGCCCAUGGAUGCUGGGCUGAUGGCAAUGUCCAUGUUGGGCCAUUGGGAGCAACACGUGCGUGAGGCUAGCUGACCAGGCUAAGGCUUGGUGCAUGACAUAGGGCUGUGCACUGGAAAUUGAGGGCUGCAGGCGCUUGCGUAUUGAGGACGGGAGGAUUUGUUUUAAAAAAGGGAGGAACAUCAGGUGUGGUGUGCUUGCCAUGAGGUGCUUGUGUGAGGGAAAAAAAGGGAAAGGGGAAUUUUUGGCCAGCUUGUGCCACGUGAGCACGGGAGGCUGCCAACGACAGAUCCUUUUUUGAGGUUCUCCCUCUGUUGCGUACACAGGAUGGCAGCGGUCAAUACACUGCGGAGAAUAAAGACGCGGAGUCGCAGGUUCAGGUGGAGAUUGCCUGGUACGAUCAGCUACGUGUAUUCAAAUGUUGCAGGAAGCUUUUGUGCAAUGGAUAUGCUUGAUGGAGUAGCAUGAUGCCAAGAUGAUCAAGAUGGACAUCAUGCGACAAGAGGCGACGUGCGUAUAGGGCUCAAAGGAGUCUGGAGUGCGUCGUGACAUGGAUCAUGCAUACACAAGGCGUCAAAGCAAUGCACGAAGAUGUGCGGGGCAGACACGAUGCACAGUGGAGCAUGGUUGCAGUCGGAUAAGUUCGGCUGAGUCGGACUGGACAGUCUGAUGGACCGACAUGGAUGUUGGUCAAAGCAGAAGACGACGGUGAUUUCGGCGGCGACGACAUAGGAGCGUGAUGCUGAUGGUGACCGACUUCUGGGGCGUGAAAACACGUGGUGCAGGCCUGAGGGCUUGUGCGGCUUAGACAGACUAAGGCGCGGGGUUGAUUCAAGGCAGUGUACACAUGAGAGCUUGAAGUCGACAGGGCGCGGGGUAGCACAGCCAAGCUACAUGGAGUCAUGUUGAAGGUGGAGCUGGAGUCUAAUGGAAGACUUCACUCUGUGCUGAUGGAGGGGCUAUGGUGUAAGAUAUCGGAGAAUCGAAGCCUAUUUCAGCGGGAUAGCGAGAGACACGUGGAUCGGACUGGGGCCCAAUGGUCUGACGGAGACGUGAUACUCGGUAUUGGUCGGUGAUGAUCGGUGGUUCUCUGCAGUGGGAGUUGAGACAGUGGGGGCUAGCUAUCCGGGAGACUCGACCAGGACAGCAGAGGCUCGACGCGGUGAUAGCGGCGAGGCGUGCGGUAAGCACGGGACACAGCGACAGGCCAGGGCACCGGUGGUCAGAUAUGUUGUUAGACAAAGUGUGCAGGGGGUGCUGAAGCAGUGUUGACGAGUACCGGAUUCAAGUUGGUGACUGGGUCUAUCGGUGCCGGUUGAUGGACAUGAGUUGACCAUGAAGAAUCUGAGAAAGUGGCGGAGAGUCUGAAAUUGUCAAAGGCUGAAAGAGUACAUGGCCGUAUAUUCUGUGGUGUUCGGUGCACAUGGCAAAGUGCGGAUGAUAAGUACAGAAGGAGGCGGAGUGCUAUAGCUGUGGGACAUGCUAGAGACUAUCCCGGAAAAAAGGCGAGACAACUGCGAAUUUGACUCAGGGUGACACAAGGCGACAGUGAAAUUCCUUCAAGUUUCAGACAGGCGGUCAAGGAAGAGCAGUGAUGUUGAGUUGAGGUAACUCUUAUGUGUGACACCCAAUAUGUGAGUUGUUCACUUUCAUGCAGGUCAGUGAUCGGUGUGUGAUGGCGCUGGACGGAUACUCUGGAAGUUGGGAGCACGAACUAGAGUAAUAAGGAACUUAAUUUUGCUCGAGUGUUGACUGCGAAGAAGACAAGAAGGGACUACAGUUGCAGGUGGAGUCACAUGGAGUCUGGGAGUAGCAGCAAUGCUCAUGGUGCAUCUCAAGUCCAAUGUACAUGAAGGUUCGACGCACGGAUGAAUCCAAGGUGGUGGAGAAUAUUCGCCAAGGUGGAGUUUGUUAGAGUUAUGUCGAAUAUUAUUGUACAAGUUAGGUUACAGUUGGACUUGGUUUUGGACUGUGUGUAGACAGGGUAGGAGUUGUGUCCUAAUAGGACACUUGUAUCCUAGGCCUCUCAUAUAUAUCGAGGGUAGACACACGAUGUAACCUAUGCCAACAUAAUAGCACGGGAACGCGGGGGAGCCGGCGGCGUGUGCCGGCGGCCGGGGUGCGGUAUUGUAGCGGUGUCAUGGGGAGGAGCGCCCGUAGUCAGGCCCCGGAGAUGUAGCCAUAUUGGUGAACCUCGUUAACAAAUCUCGAUGUCGUACCUCGUGUGAUUGCUUGGUCCUUGGUAGAUCAACGAAGCGCCUCCGAUUUAUUAUAACAAACAAAUUGUAAUCCCAUCUCUAAACAUAAAGAAGAAUAGAGGAUACGUGUGUACGCUUAAACGUGCAAUGUACCACAUCCUUGGAAUUCAGAAGGUUCAGGAGGGAACAUCGGCACAGUGCUCUAAGGAGCAGAAUAGAUCAGAAGGAGGAGAAAACUCAGGGUUGAUGAAGAUGGAGCGCCCAGGCAGCUCCUUGGUCCAGUGGCCGAGCAGGCCGUGGCUAUAGCCGUCUGCGAGCCGCUUGAUGCACCAGAGGUCCUCGGCGCUGAGGCACGCCCAAAGCGGCAUGCCAGCGUGGACGGGCUUGAGAGAAGGACCUCGGUGGCCACCACCCGCAGCUGCUACGUCGGGUCAUGUUGUGACCGUGCUGACACAGCGCGCGCUCCAACCUCAGCGCCCCCGGCUGGCGCUGCCCAGGUCAUAUAGAAAAUAGAUCCUGACGGCGCAAGAGGUUCUAGGUGGAGGGUAUCCGGAUCAGAGCCACGGCACCGCUCGCUAUCGCCGCCGGUUCUACCCCAGCUGUGGAGUCUUGGUUCUGCUGCGUCUGUCGCCGCGUGAGAUUUGUGUUGUUUCGUGAGAGAUAUUUACAUAGUAAAAGAUGAAGCCACUCGCCCUACUAGCGACUAUAGCCACGUCUCCUUUUAUUCGUCUAUGAACAGUGCGUGCGUUACUGUAGCGACGAGGGAAUUUACAUAGUAAAAGAUGAAGCCACUCGCCCUACUAGCGACUAUAGCCACGUCUCCUUUUAUUCGUCUAUGAACAGUGCGCGCGUUACUGUAGCGACGAGGGAAUUUACAUAGUAAAAGAUGAAGCCACUCACCCUACUAGCGACUAUAGCCACGUUCCUCCUCCCGAGCCUUCUCCCGCAACGACCAAACCUAACCCGCGCCUCCCCUGCACCCCCCGCCUCCUCUCCUGCCGCCGCCACCUCCUCCCCGCGACCCCCGCCUGCUCCCCUAGCGCCGCCGCCUCCUGGGCCUCGCCCUCACCGGCUCGCGACCCCGCCCUCCUCCCCUGCCGCCGCCUCCAGCCCAAUCCCCUCACAGGCUUCCUCUUUCCCUCCACUCCCCAGACGCCGCCACUUGUGCUUGGCAGAAGGAGUGGCUGCGAUGAUGGAAGAUGCGUGAGGAGGACGAGGAGGAGGCCGUGGUCAUGGCGGCGCGACGGAUAUCGUGUUCGGGCGGCGCAGUUGGUCGAGGCAGAGGUGCCAGCCCGCGGGGUCGCAAUCGAGCUGGGCGUGAUGAGAGGGAGGAGAGGGAUGGGAAGAGUGGGAGGCGCAAGGACAGCGGCGCUUGCCAUCUCAUUCCCCAUCUCUUCUCGUUGCACGUCCCCCAUGAGUUCCUCUUUCUAAUCCCCUUCCUCUCCAUAAGUUAUCUUUUUAUUUUCUGAAAUAUGUAUGUUUGCUCAUUGGGCGGCCAUGGAUUCUAGAGAUGGAGGCCUCGACAGGAGGAGCUCGAGCCGAGGAGCGCGCCCUCGAUCCGGGCUCAACAGGGGGAGGGGAGCAGCAGCCGCGCCGGCCUCGUCGCAAUGCGUGCAGCAAGCUGAAGGCGCGGCAAGAGCGGCGGUCAAGACCACGGUCGCGGCUUCCGGGGACCAAGGUCGCUUCAUUCCGUCUCCUCCCCCUUUUUUUUCUUCUCAGGCAACAACAGAUGACAAGAUGCGAUGCCCCAUCUUCAGCUUGCAGGAGGGAACGCGAGCUCUCCUCACUGGUGACGGCGACCUGGCGAGGAGGUCCCUUGUUCUGUGGCCUGCCUCUGCGCGGCCGGCUGGCUGCUCAGGUGCGCGCACCAGUGCCUCUGCUCGCCCAGCCGACUGCUGUCCGCACAGACGCACACCACCCGGCAGCAGCGUGCCGAGCCGCCCCUGUUAGGCGGACUGCUGAAGCCGCCCAGUCCCGCCAGCCGCUCAGCCACUAAACCCGUUGCCUCUUCCGAAAGAGGUACCUCAUCCCCUGAUCCCCCAAUCCCCCAUGGUUGCUUACUUGAUCUAAAUCUCUGAUUUAGAUCAAUUUACUGGCUCUAUGGUGAGAUACUAAUUCAGCUUUUCUGAUUUUAGUUACCGGUUGUCCUGUGUCCGGCUGAGCUACAUAUAUUGCGUGUUAGCCUUUCACUGAUUUUAGAAUUGACCGUGUUUUGAUGAUUGGUUGUUACAGUGUUGCAUGGAGUACCAAGGCUUGCACGUUGCCCAAGGAUUGGACACCCAGUUGCUGAUCUACACCCCCUUAUCUGCAUUCCACACUAUUCAAAGGUACCAAACUGUGAAAAGAAUGCUAGGUUGAUGUUACACUGAUUGGUAAGAGUUGAGACACUGCUUGAAAGCAAGGGGGGUUUGCCUGGUGUUGGAACUAGAGUGUUAGAUUUAUUUUGUUAGGUUUGUGAUUGCUAUAAUCCUUGUGACUACUUGGUGGAAUCUCUACAAAUUUGCAAAUGUUUUGUGAUGCUUUUGCUAUCUCUUGGUUGUGUCUUAUGCCUCAAGUCAUUGAUAAUAUGAAAAAUAUUUUGAAUUUGCCUUUGACGCCUCCUUUCAGUUCAUCAUGGUACUGGCAGAUAGGCAGAUAUUUGUGUAGCAGUUGCUUGAUGUGCUUACUGUACUAGCAAACAGAAGCAGGCUUCCUGGUUGAUUUGGUUUUCCUAGAUUUCAACUUCCUUUCAGUUUCAGAUGGACAGCCAUGAGUUGUUAGAGAUGAGAAGUACCUAACGUAAGACCAGAGGUUGCUAUUUCAGAUCAAGGGUUGGUGUCGACGUUUAACAACAUGUGUUUAGGGAAAGUAUCCUGUCAGUCUUCACAUUUUUAUGGGGCGCAUUCACCAUUCUGCGUGUAUACAUGUUGUUUUUGUAUAUAUAUAUAUAUAUAUAUAUAUAUAUAUAUAGGUAAAUUAACUGGGACACCUAGGUGCCCGAGCACCUUGAUUGUUUUAGGUAUGUACCGCCACACAAUGAAUGUUUGAUUUGUUUCCUAAUUAUUCUUCAUGCAAGACUUUCCAUGUCUACAAUUUAUUUUUGUUUUUAACUAUUAGGCAUGCAAGACUUGCCAUACAAUAAAUCAUAGUAAUAUUUUAUUUUCUUCUGAACUACUAUGGGUAUCUAAUACGCGUAUUUUCGUUUCCUAACUAUCUAAUACGGGUAUCUAAUACUUACUAAUAAAAAUUCUGUGCAUACGCGGGUAUAUAUAUCCAGUAAAUUAUUUUCUGAACUAUUACGUUCUAUUUUUUUAACUAUUUAAUAUGAGUAUCUAAUACCUAUUAACGAAAUUAUGUAUAUAUCGGGUACGUAUAUACCCAAUAAUUUAUGUAAAUAUAUGGGUAUUUAAUACCUACUAACGAUACCACAAAAAAAAUACCUACUAACGAUAUUAUGUACAAAUACGGGUAUCAAAUACCUACUCAGGUAAUUAUGUACACAUGCGGGUACAUAUAUACCCAAUAAUUUUUUUAGAACUAUUUAUGUUUUAUUUUAUUUUCUAACUAUCUAAUACGGGUAUGCAAUACCUACUACCAAAAUUAUGUGCAUUCUCAGGGUGCGUAUAUAUCCAAUGAAAUCUUGCGUCAUACAUACACAUUCCUAAUUUGAUCUGUUAUACGUACAAGGGGC
rnacentral:lncRNA from 1 species